AUACGGAGGAUCCGAGCGUUAUCCGGAUUUAUUGGGUUUAAAGGGUGCGUAGGUGGUUUGAUAAGUCAGCGGUGAAAGUUUGCAGCUUAACUGUAAAAAUGCCGUUGAAACUGUCGGACUUGAGUGUAAAUGAGGUAGGCGGAAUGCGUGGUGUAGCGGUGAAAUGCAUAGAUAUCACGCAGAACUCCGAUUGCGAAGGCAGCUUACUAAGCUACAACUGACACUGAAGCACGAAAGCGUGGGGAUCAAACAGGAUUAGAUGCCCUGGUAGUCCACGCAGUAAACGAUGAUUACUAGCUGUUUGCGAUACACAGUAAGCGGCACAGCGAAAGCGUUAAGUAAUCCACCUGGGGAGUACGCCGGCAACGGUGAAACUUAAAGGAAUUGACGGGG
rnacentral:rRNA from 1 species